rnacentral:rRNA from 1 species
CUUGCUACCAGGCGUCGAGCGGCGGACGGGUGAGUAAUACUUAGGAAUCUACCUAGUAGUGGGGGAUAGCACGGGGAAACUCGUAUUAAUACCGCAUACGACCUACGGGAGAAAGGGGGCAGUUUACUGCUCUCGCUAUUAGAUGAGCCUAAGUCGGAUUAGCUAGAUGGUGGGGUAAAGGCCUACCAUGGCGACGAUCUGUAGCUGGUCUGAGAGGAUGAUCAGCCACACCGGGACUGAGACACGGCCCGGACUCCUACGGGAGGCAGCAGUGGGGAAUAUUGGACAAUGGGGGAAACCCUGAUCCAGCCAUGCCGCGUGUGUGAAGAAGGCCUUUUGGUUGUAAAGCACUUUAAGCAGUGAAGAAGACUCUUCGGUUAAUACCCGGAGACGAUGACAUUAGCUGCAGAAUAAGCACCGGCUAACUCUGUGCCAGCAGCCGCGGUAAUACAGAGGGUGCAAGCGUUAAUCGGAAUUACUGGGCGUAAAGCGAGCGUAGGUGGCUUGAUAAGUCAGAUGUGAAAUCCCCGGGCUUAACCUGGGAACUGCAUCUGAAACUGUUAGGCUAGAGUAGGUGAGAGGGAAGUAGAAUUUCAGGUGUAGCGGUGAAAUGCGUAGAGAUCUGAAGGAAUACCGAUGGCGAAGGCAGCUUCCUGGCAUCAUACUGACACUGAGGCUCGAAAGCGUGGGUAGCAAACAGGAUUAGAUACCCUGGUAGUCCACGCCGUAAACGAUGUCUACUAGUCGUUGGGUCCCUUGAGGACUUAGU